UAAAGAUAGAGUCCCAUUCU
rnacentral:tRNA from 1 species